UGUGGUUAAUGAUCUCGUCAUUCUCGCCUUCUGUUAUGCCCAAUUAUUUCCAUUAGCUUCGCGCCGUGUUUCUGAAGGGCGCUACGCCGCCAGGAGGUGAGGGACGAAGGCGUGGAAAUCGUUGGCGACGUGAUUGCCGCUGAGUUCGGCGAAGUCGAGAUCAAACUCGGCGAUGGUGAAAGAGAUCGAGUCGUGCGGGCAACAGGCGAAGUUGAGGGGGCGUACGAUUUUUCCGGCAAAGGGGGAGAAAUGGAAGUGUUGUGUGUCCUCUGUCUAUUAUCCGUUGCUCUGCUCGACAAUAUUGUGAAGAAGCUAAAGAAUCCAAUAUUUUUAUGCCACUUGUUCUAGUCUUUAUUUAUGCCUCUUAAACUAAGUUUAUUUAUCUCAAAUUUUGUAAUGUCACAGCUAUAUGUAAAUAGGUGUCAAAUAAUGUUAUGCUAGUAUUUUGCUGAGAA